rnacentral:lncRNA from 1 species
GCAAAAGUAAAAUGCCCCAAGGGAUGAAGAAAUUAUGAUAUGUAAAUGUAUAGAAAUGAUUUGUAGAAAUUACAAAUUGGUGUUUAAAAUCAUUUAAUGAUAAUGAAAAUGGUUAAUGGUAAAUUAUAUAGUCAAUGAGUAAUUCAGAGUCUGAUAUAUUUUCCAAACACAAAAAUCUUGAACAGCAUUAUAACCAAUAUUUAUCUCUAUUGUGUGAUUUUAAAGACAUCUUCAUUAUCUUCUUUAUAAUUUUCAUAUUGUCCAACUUUUCAAUAAUCAAUAUGUAUGAUUUUACAAUCAGGAGAAAUAAAGCAGUCACUGAUUUUUCUAAAAAUUUAUAAAAUGGAAAAUGUAAAACAGCAUUACCUCCAUCGAGUUUUACUCUCUGAAAAAUAUUAAUUUAUCCUUAGACUAUGUAAUUUAAAAAACAUAAUAAAAUAGAAACAAGUAAAUUUCAUUUGGAUGCAAGGAAAAGUAUUCUUGUUAAUGAUAAAACAAUGUCAUCCACUAAAAUAACAAGGUUAAGGACUUAGAGGUAUCAAAUGGCCAGACAGAUAUAGAUAAUUUCUGAAUGAUAACUCACAGCUUUGGUUACUUUUCUUUGGUAAACAUGAUCAUAGGCACAAAGGUUCUGGUGAUUCGUGUGCUUUUUUUUUUUAAUGAGUUUGUAUUUUAGACUUUGUAGGUUGCUUUUCAUACAUUAUCUCUUAAACUGUGAGAAAGGUAUUUUUACCAUUGAUAGAGGCAGGAGACAGGCAAAUGCCUAGGAAAUAGGGAAGGGCCCCCGGGAGAACCUCUGACCUGCUCCGCAAGUAUUCACACCAGAUGUUUUUGUGCAGAUAAAGGAACCAGUGCAGGGUCUUGCCUGGGCAUGCCCACAAUGAACCGGAGGCGAACAUGCACUGGAGGAAUGGGGUAGAGCCACCAGGAAUUUGUGCUGUAUACUGGGGAGGAGCCUGGCCUCAUCAACUCCUGUGUGGUGGCCUGGAAUUCAAUUUGUGAGGUGGAAACCUGAGUGCAGGACUGCUCUUUUUGUUGAGAGCUUUCCUUUUGCUUAAUAAAUUCUGGGCCGGGCACUUUGGCUCACACCUGUAAUCCUAGCACUUUGGGAAGCCAAGGCUGGCGGAUCACCUGAGGUCUGUUAGGUCCAUUUGUUCCAAGGUGUAGUUUAAAUCUAUUGUUUUUUUUUUUUGACUUUCUGUCUUGAUAAACUGUUUAGUGCUUGGAGCCUUUGUUCAUAUUUUCUUAUUCUUUUUUCUUUUCUUUCUUGUAUUGGGUUAGUUCGAAGUCCUUGUCUUCAAACUCUGAAUUUCUUCUACUUGUUCAAUUCUAUUGCUGAGACUUUCCAGAGCAUUUUGCAUUUCUAAAAGUGUGUCCACAGUGUCCUGAAUUUUUUAUUGUUUUUUUUCUUCAAACUAUCUAUUUCCAUGAAUAUUUCUCCCUUCACUUCUUGUAUAAUUUUUUGGAUUUCCUUGCAUUGGGCUUUGCCUUUCUCUAGCCCCUCCCUGAUUAGCUUAAUAACUAAGCUUUGAAUACUUUUUCAGGUAAAUCAGGGAUUUCUUCUUAGUUUGGAUCCAUUGCUGGUGAACCAGUGUGAUUUUUGGGGGGUACUGAAAAGGCUUGUUUUGUCAUAUUACCAGGGUUGUUUUUCUGGUUCUUUUUUGAGGGAGGAGAGAGACCCUCUCAUAUUGUUUUAUAUUGUUUUAUACUCAGUACCUGUUUUAAGAAAAACAACAAGGAAGUAAAACCAAAGACAGGCAGCCUGGCACCAGGCCUGAAACCAGGCCUGGGCCUGCCUCGCCUAAAUCCAGUAGUUAAAAAUCAAUUCAUAACUUAGAAACCGAUGUUAUUCAUAGAUUCCAGACAUUGUAUAGAAGAGCAUUGUGAAACUCCCUGCCCUGUUCUGUUUCUCUCUGACCACCCGUGCAUGCAGCCCCUGUCACGUACCGCCUGCUUGCUCAAAUCAAUCACGACCCUUUCAUGUGAAAUCUUUAGUGUUGUGAGCCCUUAAGAGGGACAGAAAUUGAGCAUUCGGGGAGCGCGGAUUUUGAGGCAGUAGCUUGCCGAUGCUCCCAGGUGAAUAAAGCCCUUCCUUCCAUAACUCGGUGCCUGAGAGGUUUUGUCUGCAGCUCGUCCUGCUACAUUCUCAUUUGGUCUCUCUUCAGAAUCAGAAUAAACUAGGAUUUCAUUGAACAGAAAGCCAGCAUGAAAGUGAUAUGUGGAACUCUUUUUUUUCUAAAGAGCCAGCAUAAAACCAAACAUUACAAGACACACAAAGAAGCAAAGAAAUGUGACUCACAUUCAAGAAAGGAUGCAAGCCCAGAUAUUUCCUAGAUAUUGGAAACAUCUGACAAGGACUUCAAAAUAACUAUGGCAAUUAUGUUAAAUAAAGUAUGUAAAAACACAGGAGAAAAUGGGAACUUUUAGUACAUAUAUAAUCAUGAUAAAAAAAAACCCAAAUGCAAAUGUUAGAAAUAAAGAAUGAGCCAUCAGAAAUAAAACAUUCAUCAGACGGGCUUACAUUUGACAAUAUCAAGUAAUAGCCAUUAUUUAUGAUGAUAUAAUACAAAAUAUAUUAUUAUAGUCACAAAAAAGGGACAAGCAAAAAGACCUAGUGCCUGAGAAUUUUCAAAAAUUGAAGAAAGAUAUCAAACCAUAGAUUUUGGAAGCUUAGCAAACCUCAGUGAGGAUACAUUAGCAAUAGCAACAACAAAACACAAAAAUCUAUCAGAGUGAAGAAGUAAAAAAACAAAAUAGGAGAAUGCUACCAACUUUCUUGGGUUAUUAUUUGACUACCCAGCUUUUAAUAUUCUUAAGUUUUAAUUUUAUGUCUUGUAAACAUUAAAUACUUAAGUUUCUUUUUCCAAAUCAGAAACUACAGGUUGGCAAACUACCCUAAACCUGGCCUGCCUGCAAUUUCUUAUGUGUGUGAGCAUGAAAUGGUCUUCACAUUUUUAAAUGGGUGAAAAUAUCAAAAGAAGAAUAAGAUUUUAUGACAUAUGCAUUUGGAAUCAAAUUUUAGGGUUCAUAAAUACAGGUUUAUUGGAAGGCAGUUUUCAUGCACGUCCCUGUGAAGAGACCACCAAACAGGCUUUGUGUGAGCAAUAAAGCUUUUAAUCACCUGGGUGCAGGCAGGCUGAGUCUGAAAAGAGAGUCAGUGAAGGGAGAUAAGGGUGGGGCUGUUUUAUAGGAUUUGGGUAGGUAAAGGAAAAAGGGGGGUUGUUCUCUGGCAGGCAGGAGUGGGGGUCACAAGGUACUCAGUGGGGGAGCUUUUGAGCCAGGAUGAGCCAGCAGAAGGAAUUCACAAGACAGUGUCAUCAGUUAAGGCAGGAACAGGCAUUUUCACUUCUUUUGUGGUGGAAUGUCAUCAGUUAAGGCAGGAACCGGCCAUCUGGAUGUGUACCUGCAGGUCACAGGGGAUAUGAUGGCUUAGCUUGGGCUCAGAGGCCUGAAAUUCCUGUCUUCUUAUAUUAAUAAGAAAAAUAAAAUGAAAUAGUGGUAACGUGUUGGGACGGCAAAAAUUUUUGGGGAUGGUAUGGAGAGAUAAUGGGAGAUGUUUCUCAGGGCUGCUUCUAGCAGGAUUAGGGGCGGUGUGGGAACCUAGAGUGGGAGAGAUUAAGCUGAAGGAAGAUUUUGUGGUAAGGGGUGAUAUUGUGGGGUUGUUAGAAGAAACAUUUGUCAUUUAGAAUUAUUGGUGAUGGCCUGGAUAUGGUUUUGUAUGAAUUGAAAAACUAAACAGAAUAAGAGAAGGAGAAAAACAGGUAUUAAAGGACUAAGAAUUGGGAGAACCUAGGACAUCUAAUUAGAGAGUGCCUAAGGAGGUUCGGCAUAGCCUUGCCAGCAAAGAUUAUUUAUUUACUUUAAGAGUUAAGAGUGGGAGUUUGGGGAUAGCACCAGGAGAUAUCAGCUGUGAUGGCUUGGAGAAACAGUGUAAACCGGCAGUGUAAACAAGAGCAGGGCAUGUAUGAGUAGUUGAGAAUGGUGAAUAGGAGUAUGACUAGACAGAAGACAGUAGGGAUGACAAGUUUUGGGGGCACAGUCUAAGUUGGUCUGGUGUCUGGAAUGAGACUGGGGCCUAAUAAAAAGGAGCAUCUAUACGGGAGCUUAAAUGGGCUGUACUUUGUAGCAUUCCGAGGACAGGUCUGAAUUCUGAGAAGGGAAAGUGGUAAAAGUAUUGUCUAUUCCUUUUUAAGUUGGUGGCUGAGCUUGGUGAGGUGUGUUUUUAAAAGACCUUUAGUCUGUUCUACUUUUCCUGAAGACUGAGGACUGUAAGGGAUAUAAAGGUUUCACUGAAUACUAAGAGCCUGAAAAACUGCUUGGCUGAUUUGACUAAUAAAGGCUGGUCUGUUAUCAGACUGUAUAGAGGUGGGAAGGCUAAACUGAGGAAUUAUUUCUGACAGAAGGGAAGAAAUGACUGCGGUGGCCUUCUCAGACCCUGUAGGAAAGGCCUCUACCUAACUAGUGAAAGUGUCUACCCAGACUAAGAGGUAUUUUAGUUUUUGUGACUCGGGGCAUGUUGAGUAAAGCUAAUUUGCCAGUCCUGGGCGGGGGCAAAUCCUUGAGCUUGAUGUGUAGGGAAGGGGGGAGGGGGCCUGAAUAAUCCUUGAGGAGUAGUAGAAUAGCAGAUGGAAUACUAAAAAUUUAUUUCCCUGAGGAUAGAUUUCCGCGAUGGAAAAGAAAUGAGAGGUUUUAAGAGGCGGGCUAGUGGCUUGUACUGUAGCAUAGCCUGCCUUUGCUGGUGUGUGGCAAUUAGGCCUGGUGGAACUGCCAUCAAUAAACCAAGUGUGUUCAGGGUGAGAAACAGUGAAGAAGGAAAUGUGGGGAAGUGGGGUGAAUGUCAGGUGGAUCAGAGAGAUGCAGUCAUGAGGGUCAGGUGUGGUAUCAGGAAUAAUGUGGGAGGCCGGAUUGAAGUCCGAGCCAGGAACAAUGGUAACUGUGGGAGACUCAACAAAGAGUGAGUACAGCUGAAGGAGCCGGGGAGCAGAAAGUAUAUGCAUCAGGUGUGAGGAAGAAAAUAGAUUCUGGAAAUUAUGAGAGCUGUAGAGAGUGCAUUGAGCAUAGUUUGUGAUUUUAAGGGCCUCUAAAAUAUUAGGGUGGUAGCAGCCGCUGCAUGGAGACAUGAUGGCCAGCCUAAAACAGUAAGGUCAAGUUGUUUGGACAAAAAGGCUACAGGACGCGAUCCUCAUCCUUGUGUAAGAAUUCUUACUGCACAGCCCUGCACUUCAGCUGUGUGUAAUGAAAAGGGUUAGGAUGAGUCAGGGAGAGCUAUAGUGGGGGCAGUUUCUAAAGCUGUCUUCAAGGAAUGGAAAGAGGAGUGGGGGAAAGGAUUUAGUAUCUAUGGGGUCGGCUAGGUUUCCUUUUGUGAGUUUAUAUAAUGGUUUUGUUAGGAUGGCAAAACCAGGUAUCUAAAUGUGAAAGUAUCUAACCAUACCCAGGAAGGAAAGGAGUUGUUGUUUUGUAGAAUGGAUUGGGGUUUGAGAGACUAGUUGGACACGAUCGGCAGGGAGCGCACGUGUGUUUUUAUGAGAAUUAUGCUGAGAUAGCUAACAGAUGAGGAAGAAAUUUGGGCUUGACUGAAGUAAUGGGGGCUGUCUGUGAAGCUUUGUGGCAGUACAGCCCAGGUAAUUUGCUGAGCCUGAUGGGUGUCAGGGUCAAUCCAAGUGAAAGCGAAGAUAGGCUGUGAUGAAGGGUGCAAAGGAAUAGUAAAGAAAGCAUGUUUGAGAUCCAGAACAGAAUAAUGGAUUGUGGAGGGAGGUAUUAAGGAUUGAAAGGCCAUGCUGUAGCAGGCAAGUGAUAACAGGCUUUAAUCCUUUCAAAGCAUGCUGUGGGAUGGGAUAUUGGCAUUGAGUGGGGUAAGGGUGAUUAGGCUUUAAUGAGAUGGUAAGGGGUGCAUGAUCGGUCACCAAGGAGGGAGUAGAGGUAUCUUAUACUUGUGGGUUAAGGUUGGGGGAUACAAGAGGAGGAUGCAAAGGAGGCUUUGGAUUGGGAAGAAGGGCUUCAAUGAGAUGUAGCUGUAAUCCAGGAAUAGUUAGGGAAGCAGAUAAUUUAGUUAAGGUGUCUCGGCAUAAUAAGGGAACUGGGCAGGUGCGGAUAACUAAAAGGAGUGCUUAAAAGAGUAUUGUCUAAGUUGGCACCAGAGUUGGGGAGUUUUAAGAAGUUUAGAAGCCUGGCUGUCAAUACCCACAAACAGUUAUGGAGGCAAGGGAAACAGGCCCUUGAAAAGAAGGUAAUGUGGAGUGGGUAGCCUCCGUAUUGCUUAAGAAGGGGACGGACUUACCUUCCACUGUGAGAGUUACCUGAAGCUCGGCGUCUGUGAUGGUCUAGGGGGCUUCUGAGGUGAUCAGGCAGCGUCAGUCUUUAGCUGCUAAGCCGAGAAGGUCUGGGAAGGAGUCAGUCAGAGAGCCUUGGGCCAGAGUUCCAGCAUCUCUGGGAGUGGCUGCCAGUCUGCUCAGCCUGGUUAAGAACUCUUUUUGGAGAACUGGUGGAGUCAUUUGGAGGACAUAAGACACUCUGGCCAUAGCAGCGGUACUAUGCUGGGGGUCUGCUCCAGUCCCUGGUCAUCCCGGACUCUCCAAAGCCCAAAGGCUGGAAUGGCUAAGUCACCCAAACAGAAAAUAUAGUGGCCCACCCCUCUUUCUGGGAGCUCUGUUUCAGAGAGGUGUAAUGCUGCUGUUGGUGGAAGGUUGGAGCUCCAAGCCAGCAGAU